UAUGCAGAAACGCCCCCAAGCCCUAAAAGCGCCAACAAGAAGGCAGGAUUUACCCUCGCUUAUACGGCGCGAUUUCAAGGCCGGUGUCCGGCGGGUGACAUGUCAAGUAAAAGAUCUUGCUGCCCAAGCAGAAGAAAGCUGAAUGUCCUUCCAUCUGAGCACUAGCCUGGGGCCACCCUUCGUCCCACUGCACUUGGUCCUUUACAACUUCUGACUCCCAGAGGAAACUCCAGGACUCAAAAGGAAACCCUACAAGCAUUCAAACACCUUGGGCAUCUUUGUGGCCAACAUGAGCUCACAAGAACCCCAGGACACUGAGGGAGGAGCCAUCUCUGCUUGGCAGUAAGAAAUACUGGGGAAUGGGAAGCCUUAAUUCCCAGUGCAGGGACUGAUGAACCAUCAGGUGAGACUCUGCAGUACGUGGGCAGGGUUGUACCAUGCUUCUCCUUGCUCUUCUGUGACUGAAUAAAGCCAGCCAGGCACAGAUAUUGUUUCUCUCAAGCAGCCAGGCAUAACCCAGACUUGUUUACCUGCCUAGCAACACAUUAACUACAUCCCAGUGAGCUGGUGAUAUAUAAUCCAGCAUUCAGGCUAUUGGCAUCACCUGAUUAGUCUAUGUGUUUUGAUUAUUAAACACUGCAGAAGAAAAGUAUCUAAAGUUUUCUUGCAGUCAUAGGACUGCUCCUACCUUUACACACCACAUUGAAAUAUUCAUGGCAUUUAUAAUUUUAAAUGGAUUUGGAUUGCAAGUAACAACUUGGUGUAAACAUUUUUAAUCUUGUAAAUUGGAAGCAAAAUGGGUCCAAUUUGAAAAUUAGCUAGUAUUUUAGU